AUGGCACCCUGAUCUUGAG
rnacentral:misc_RNA from 1 species